GUGGCCGUAUUACAUUUUAUCCUACGGAUGUGCUCUCGUUUAUACUCUAAACCCCUUUUAUUGAACACAUCACUUACUCGGAAAUUUUCAGUGUUAUGAUGGAUGUUGCAGUAAUUAUUCUUAUGUAUGCACAGAACCCCCAGAGGACAUGACUACUGAAGGGUGUGCUGGCAGGAUCACGGGUCCCCACACUGUUAAAUUCAUUCCAAAUGAAAGGAUCUUUUCUUUUUUUCACAUGGCAUUUUCUAAGUAGUUGUUGCACUCAUAUAGGAGAUGCUGUUGAUUUUGACAUCCAUAAUUUUUCAGUGGAGACAAGGCAGACACUACUCCAGACUCUCACUUGCUAUCACCGAUCCUUACGUGUGGCUGUGCCAGGCUCAGCUGCGCUGAGAUGAUGGGGCUGUCUGGCCAUCGUUGGUCAUAUGGACUUCAGAUUUGAAAGGAUUUUAUGGAGAAGCAGAGUGCCUGAUAUGACUCUCUGGGACCCCCAUUUCUGCCCUCCUUGGCUCCCACUGGCAAGGCUGACUCAGUUCCUAUCAUCUUCUCCUGGACUUUGGCCAGAGUCCACUGGCUGUUCUCCCUGCCUCCUGCCCUCUCCACACCAGUGCCCUCUCCACACCAGUGCCAGAGCUGCUUCCAAGAGAUGCCUCAAAGCCCGCUUCCAGCUCAGGAACCCCAGGGGACAUGGAUGGUUUCUCCAUUGCCACUUCCUAGCCUUCCUGGCAUAGGCAGGUCUGGUUUGCCCGCAGGUCCCUCUCUAGGGUGGGUCCCUGCUCCAUAGAUGCUGAGCCUCCAGAAGUCCAUUCUUUUAUAUCACAUUUGAAAACCUUUGAAAUGCAUUAUAGUUCAGUCAUAUGAAUUAUGUAAGUAUAUCCUACUCAUUGUAUAAAACAACACAGAAUUGU